rnacentral:lncRNA from 1 species
GGGUAAGGUUCUAGGACCACUCACAUGGUCUUCAGACGCUAUCAGCCAAAUCCCGACCUUGAGAUUGGUAUAUAACCAAUCGAGGUGAAGGUCGAGUGGAGAUCGAUCUCGUAGUGCCAUCUUGUCUCAAGAGCCGGUCUAGCCUUAUCAGGUCAUUAAUGGGUGCUCAACUUCAUCUCAAGGAGGAGAGCUUGACUUCGAUAAUGAGUAACCCCCAUAACAGUUGCCCCC